rnacentral:rRNA from 1 species
GUCUACGGCCAUACCACCCUGAACGUGCUUGAUCUCAUCUGAUCUUGGAAGCUAAGUAGGGUUGAGCUGGGUUAGUACUUGGAUGGGAGAACUCAAGUUAAAACCCCAGAUAGGGCCGGCGCCG